rnacentral:sRNA from 1 species
UUCCGGUCACCGUUUCAGAGUUUUCCAUCCACCGUUGUUUGACCUGGCUGUUUUGGACCAGUGGCAGCAUCAUGGCGGGAGCACGUGACAGGGGAAGCCUGUUCGCCUGCUGCGGCCCGGGUGCAUCAUAGAGAGAAGUAGAGAUGCAGGUCUCCGCACCACCUUCAAGAGCACUCUCAGUAGCCUAACUUCCUCACACCCUGAAGCCCGUCCCCCUUCAAAGGUUCCACCAUCUUCUUACCAGUGAUGUAGGCGGAGGACACUGGAGACAGCGACUGCUAACAGUAGCGAUGCUUCUGGGGUGUUGUUCAGACUGUAUGAACGUGAGGGGAGGAGCGGGACUGGUUCCGUCCAACACUGAAUGCAGGUUGGAUCUGCACACUCAAGACCGAGAUUGUAGGUGAAAGGAGUUUAAGGCUGUUCUACAGGAUUCACUGUAGUCCUCAGAGUACAUCAGGAGGAUACAUUUUUCUUGCAUGGAGAAUGGAUGAUGUGUGCACUUUUGAAAGUUCGUAGGCUUUCAAUCUGCCUCCUGUUCACCUUGAAGUGAUUGCUGGAUGCCGGUUCCUCAUGCAGGAGUCUGAGCUUCUGCAGAAACUCGGUGAACCACUAUAAGAACACAGGUCUUGAAGACUGAAGAAGCCAGGAGCUUGGAUCUCUGAGGGCUUCUAAGGGAAGAGCAUUCUCCAUCCCUCAUCUCAAGCUCUCUCUGCUAUUCAGGGAGAUCUUGAAUCUACCUCCUCAAAUACUUGUCUCUUCUAGAAGCACAUUACACUCCUCAAGGAACCGUUCCUCCCAGAAUCUCUAACGAGCUGCCUUCCUGCCCAUCUGACAAAGACCAAGGGCAAAGCCCUCCCAAAUGCACACCCUUUAUACCCUACCUGCCAUUUAGAGGAGGAGAAGGAGUGGCCAUACUCUUCGAUGCAGGCCCAGUAGAGAAGGAAGAGGCACCAGCUGUCCCUUUCAGUUUGUGGAGUCUGCCUUUCUCAGGCCAUCACCUCAUUCAGGGACACACAAACCUGGGGACACUGAGAGCAUCCCUCAUUCUGCAUGUUUCAGGGAAAGCUGUCUCUGAGAGAAAUAUAAAGGGUGAGCCCCUUUCAUCUAGGCAAGCAUUGUGGGAAACACUGACUUUAAAAAGCCAUAGAAAAGAUUCCUGUAAACACCUGCCUUCUUUCACACAUUGGGCAAUAGAGAAAAACAGUCUAACUAAAUAUGUGUAAAACUGAUACUUUAUUACCCUGUUUUAAGAUUCUAUUUCUAUGUUUAGUUUAAAUUGUAUCGUUGCAUUAUAAUAAAUGUUAAUGACAUUAAACUCAUAAUUUCACAUUCAUAGAUACCUGGCAUUUGUGGUUA